AUUUUCUUAGUAUAAACAGUACUAGUGACUUCCAAUCACUAAGUCUUGGGUAGUAACCAGGAGAAAAUA
rnacentral:tRNA from 1 species